ensembl:misc_RNA
UUUACAGCCAAGGAGAAUGCAGAACUGUUUAUCCAUGUAGAGGUGCUGGAUGAGUGGCAGAAGUGUCGACUUUCCCACAGUACCCCACCCAUGGGCCCCAACCCUGACCUGGAGGGACCAUUUCCAUUCAGUCUUCAGUUGCUUUCCUGAAACUGUCAAAAUGGAAGCCAAA